GAUGAACGCUGGCGGCGUGCCUAAUACAUGCAAGUCGAGCGAACAGACGAGGAGCUUGCUCCUCUGACGUUAGCGGCGGACGGGUGAGUAACACGUGGAUAACCUACCUAUAAGACUGGGAUAACUUCGGGAAACCGGAGCUAAUACCGGAUAAUAUAUUGAACCGCAUGGUUCAAUAGUGAAAUACGGUUUUGCUGUCACUUAUAGAUGGAUCCGCGCCGCAUUAGCAAGUUGGUAAGGUAACGGCUUACCAAGGCAACGAUGCUUACCCGACCUGAGAGGGUGAUCGGCCACACGGGAACUGAGACACGGACCAGACUCCUACGGGAGGCAGCAGUAGGGAAUCUUCCGCAAUGGGCGAAAGCCUGACGGAGCAACGCCGCGUGAGUGAUGAAGGUCUUCGGAUCGUAAAACUCUGUUAUUAGGGAAGAACAAAUGUGUAAGUAACUAUGCACGUCUUGACGGUACCUAAUCAGAAAGCCACGGCUAACUACGUG
rnacentral:rRNA from 1 species